GUAGAGUUGAAAGAUGCAAGUGGUGUUUCUGAUCACUUUCCUUUUGGUCUCAGCUCACUGCACACCAGUACGAGAAUAUCAUUCUGGAAUUCGCGAUGAUUACUUCUUAAACUGGAUGAGGCUCCAUCAAAGAAUGAAAACAUAUAGACUAUUACCGCAUCACUUGUACAUUCAGAGGUUAUAUGAAUUCUUGAAUGCCUGUUGGAAACCACCGAUCAACAGAGCGACUACCAGAGCCCCCAUGCUGCCGUCACCACCGAGAACAGAAAUUGCUCCUCCUCUGACUCCGAGGCCCCCAGGCCCUUUCACCCCAGACAGACGGGGAGACACGUGAUUCAUGAAGUUCUGCAGGGAUUUCAGAGCGAAAGGCAGCUUCUUCCCCCGCAUCCACACCACAGCUGACGAUCCAACACAGCAGCUCUCUGCUCCGUGUCCCACAAGGGACCCUCUUCUGUAUCCUGGCUAAAAUGGCACUUCAUUAAAAAUGUUUCUGUCACUACGAUAUUCCCAAGUGGAAUGAUAUUUCCCAUCAUUAUCAGCCUUUAAAGAGAGAUGGGGAAAACGAGCAAAGGAAUCGAGGGAACAGGAUCUCUUUUUUCCUGGGAAGCCCUAGGCGUAGCUAAAAAUCAAGAGGUCCUAUGACAAAGGAAGAGGGCAAGAGGAUACUGGGGUGGUGGUGGGUGACAGGACUGUCUCCAGGUGACAUCCAAGCCCUUGAGAGACCACUGGGAUGUUUCCAGCAAGAGGAGAUGGUAUUCUGACCCUUUUAACUGGGACAGAAAUUUGAUGAAGCUCAGGGGAAAUGCACCUAAAAUUUCCCCUUGUCUUAUUUGGGAGGCAGAGUUAGCAGUUUCUCCCUAAUCACAGAUGUGCAAAGAAAAGGGAACAAGAGGAGUUCCUGUUGUGGCUCAGUGGUUAAAGAAUCCGACUAGGAACCAUGAGGUUGUGGGUUCGAUCCCUGACCCCGCUCAAUGGGUUAAGGAUCUGGCAUUGCCGUGAGCUGUGGGGUAGGUUGCAGAUGCGGCUCGGAUCCCGAGUUGCUGUGGUGUAGGCUGGCAGCUACAGCUCCGAUUUGACCCCUGGCCUGGGAACCUCCAUAUGCCACGGGUGCGGCCCUAGAAAAAGCAAAAAGACAAAAAAAAAAAAAAAAGAAAGAAAAGAAAACAAGAAAGGUUUUAGAGCUGUUACCUCUUCUCAGUCUCUAUAAAUAUUCAGUCUACUUUGCAGGAAAGAGAAUGGUAACCUUUGCAUCUCUUAAUUGAGAACAAUGACCACAGUCUCGUAGUCCCUUGGGAAGUUUCCCAAAGGUCUUUCCUUUCAACUGGUUGCUACAGGGCUACACCUAGAAAUCAAAGGGAAUGGAUCUGCAGAGGGGAGGACAUGCACCUAUUGCAUAGAAACCAAAGCCUCAGACUUGGAAAGGACAGUAAAGGCCAUUGGGCCAACAUCACCUGGAAGCUUGUUAGACAUGCACAAGAGGGCUCGGCAGGUUAAGAAACCCACUAGUAUCCACGAGGAUGAGGGUUCGAUCCCUGGCCUCGCUCAGUGGGUUAAGGAUCCAGCAUUGCUGUGGCUGUGGUGUAGGCCGGCAGCUGCAGCUCUGAUUAGACCCCUAGCCUGGGAACCUCCAUAGGCAGGAUGUGAUCCUAGAAAAGUAAAAAAGAAAAGAAAGGAAGGAAGGAUGGAAGGAAAGAAAUGCACAAGAGACCAGGCUCCACUGGGGACACGCUGAAGCAGUGUCUGCGUUUAAACAGAACCUCCACUGUUCCUGCAGAACAUCGGUGGGAUGGAGACAGCUGCCCGAAUACCUCCGUCCACACCGCAGAGCCCUUCCGCAGCCAUUUCUGGGGUAACUUUGAUCUUGGAAAAGUCAUUCUUUGUAUGGAGUUAAGAUGUGGUCCCACUUCAACUCUUUGGGGUUACACCAGAUAAAUGCGGCAUGUUUUCUUGAUGCUAAGCCUUCAAAUAAAUAGCAGCCCUGAGUUCCUCCUGGCA
ensembl:lncRNA